rnacentral:rRNA from 1 species
CCUGCGAGUCGUGAGUCUUAGGGACUCGGCGUACCGCUCAGUAACACGUGGGUAACCUGCCCUAUGCUGGGGAAUAACCUCGGGAAACUGAGAACAAUGCCCCAUAGUUCACCACGCCUGGAACGGUGGGUGGAUCAAAGCCCCGGCGGCAUAGGAUGGGCCUGCGGCGCAUCAGGUUGUAGGGGGUGUAAAGUACCCUCUAGCCCUCUACGCGUACGGGUGUUGGGAGACAUAGCCCGGAGAUGGAUUCUGAGACACGAAUCCAGACCCUACGGGGUGCAGCAGGCGCGAAAACUUGGCAAUGCGAGCAAUCGUGACCAGGGAACUCCAAGUGCAUCGGGUAAGACCGAUGCUUUUCUUGACUCUUCAAAGGUCUUGGAAUAAGGGGUGGGUAAGGACGGUGCCAGCCGCCGCGGUAAUACCGGCGCCUCAAGUGGUAGUCGCUUUUAUUGGGCCUAAAACGUCCGUAGCCGGUUUGGUACAUUCGUGGGUAAAUCAAGGUGCUCAACGCCUUGAAUUCUGCGAGCACGGCCAGACUUGGGACCGGGAGAGGUGUGGGGUACUCUCAGGGUAGGGGUAAAAUCCUGUCAUCCUGAGGGGACCACCUAUUGCGAAGGCGCCACACUAGAACGGAUCCGA